UUGGAAUAAAAGAGUAUGAUUAAGAAAAUGAUUAGGUUGUUUUCAUCUUCGUUUAAUUAAUUUUAUUUAUUUUUCUAAAACACUUUUAUUUCAGUUUAGUUUCAGUUUAAUUAAAAUGAAUACUUGUUCCAUUUGUCAACUAACCUCAUUUACAAGUUUAUCCUGUGCUUUAUGUACAAAAAGUGUUGGCACCAAAUGUCAAGGUAUUAGAAUCAAUGAAUACAAUGUGUGAAUACAAUGCUGUGUAUAAAACUUGUACAGUUUUUAAAUUGUUUACAAAAGACCAGUUGGAAGAGGUUGCAGUGUCUCCAACUAUUAAAAUGAUUUUUUCUGGAGCAGUCCAGCUAUAAACCCCUGGUAAACCUUAUAAUUUUGCCAGAACCAGUUUCACACACAACAUUUACAAAGCUAGUGGUUCUAUAAAAAAUUAAGGAAAGAAUAAAUUUUAGAGUUGUCAUCGGCUUAAAAGAUAACGUUUAAUACAAAAGUCGCAUUCAUAUCUAAAAACAGGUAACGUGACACCAGGUUUUUAAACAGUUGAUGAACCUAUUGAACCUCGGAUUUAGUUGAUGAACCUAUUGUCUACUGUUGAAACAUGAUUUGAUUCAGUAAAUUUUUAUUAUUUGAAUUUUACUGUAUUAAUCAUUAGUCAACAGUUAGCGAGAAACUGGUGCUCUACGUAAUUGAGAUUAAUUGAUGAACAUUUCAAUCGUCACCGAAAAUUGAAUUUUCCUGUUUGUUGCAGGCUUGUUUUCCUUUAAUUAGGAGUAUGGUAGACUUAAAGAAGCAGUUCAUAUCUAAACGACACAAACUGUCAAAAGCAAGAGAAA